AACUGCGAGUGAAGCGGGAAAAGCUCAAAUUUAAAAUCUGGCGGUCUUUGGCCGUUCCGAGUUGUAAUUUAGAGAAGCGUCUUCCGCGCCGGACCAUGCACAAGUCUCCUGGAAUGGAGCGUCAUAGAGGGUGAGAAUCCCGUCUUUGGCAUGGACCCCCUGGUGCUCUGUGAUGCGCUCUCAAAGAGUCGAGUUGUUUGGGAAUGCAGCUCAAAAUGGGUGGUGAACUCCAUCUAAAGCUAAAUAUUGGCGAGAGACCGAUAGCGAACAAGUACCGUGAGGGAAAGAUGAAAAGCACUUUGGAAAGAGAGUGAAACAGUACGUGAAAUUGUUGAAAGGGAAACGCUUGAAGUCAGUCGCGUCGAUCGAGACUCAGCCCUUGCCUCGGCUUGGCAUACUUCUCGACCGACGGGCCAGCAUCAAUUUUGCCUCUCGGAUAAUGGCAAGGGAAAGGUGGCACCCUUACGGGUGUGUUAUAGUCUCCUGUCGCAUGCGAGGGGUGGGAUUGAGGAACUCAGCACGCGCCUGUGCUUACGGGUGCCGGGGCUUCGGCCCACGUUACGUGCUUAGGAUGUUGGCGUAAUGGCUUUAAACGACCCGUCUUGAAACACGGACCAAGGAGUCUAACAUGCCCGCGAGUGUUCGGGUGGAAAACCCGUGCGCGAAAUGAAAGUGAAAGUCGGGACCUCUGUCGUGGAGGGCACCGACGCCCGGACCAGACCUUCUGUGACGGUUCUGCGGUAGAGCGUGCAUGUUGGGACCCGAAAGAUGGUGAACUAUGCCUGAAUAGGGUGAAGCCAGAGGAAACUCUGGUGGAGGCUCGUAGCGAUUCUGACGUGCAAAUCGAUCGUCAAAUUUGGGUAUAGGGGCGAAAGACUAAUCGA
rnacentral:rRNA from 1 species